AAGACUAUACUUUUAGGGAUCAUUUCUAUAGUUUGUAAUUUGAGAAAUGUGUUUCUAAAGUGUAUGGUUUUGUUGACCAUAAUGAGGAGUUGUUGAUACUCUUCCUGAACAUGAAACAGGCAGAGUCUUCAUGUUGUUGUUGUUCUCUGGGGCUAUAUAAAUAAAGAUCUUCUUCCUCUCUGCUCCUAAUGACUGUUCAUUGUUCCACCUAGAGCCAGUGAGGUAAAGAGUAUGAUCUGAGUGGUC
ensembl:snoRNA